UAGGGAAUCUUCCGCAAUGGACGAAAGUCUGACGGAGCAACGCCGCGUGAGUGAAGAAGGAUUUCGGUUCGUAAAACUCUGUUGUUAGGGAAGAAAAAAUGUAUAGUAACUAUAUACAAAAGAGACGGUACCUAACCAGAAAGCCACGGCUAACUACGUGCCAGCAGCCGCGGUAAUACGUAGGUGGCAAGCGUUGUCCGGAAUUAUUGGGCGUAAAGCGCGCGCAGGUGGUUUAGAAAGUCUGAUGUGAAAGCCCACGGCUUAACCGUGGAGGGUCAUUGGAAACUAAAAAACUUGAGUGCAGGAGAGAAAAGUGGAAGUCCUAGUGUAGCGGUGAAAUGCGUAGAGAUUAGGAGGAACACCGGUGGCGAAAGCGGCUUUUUGGCAUGCAACUGACACUGAGGCGCGAAAGCGUGGGGAGCAAACAGG
rnacentral:rRNA from 1 species